AUGAACGCUGGCGGCGUGCUUAACACAUGCAAGUCGAGCGAAGCACUUAGGAAAGAUUCUUCGGAUGAUUUCCUAUUUGACUGAGCGGCGGACGGGUGAGUAACGCGUGGGUAACCUGCCUCAUACAGGGGGAUAACAGUUAGAAAUGACUGCUAAUACCGCAUAAGACCACAGCACCGCAUGGUGCAGGGGUAAAAACUCCGGUGGUAUGAGAUGGACCCGCGUCUGAUUAGUUAGUUGGUGGGGUAACGGCCUACCAAGGCGACGAUCAGUAGCCGACCUGAGAGGGUGACCGGCCACAUUGGGACUGAGACACGGCCCAAACUCCUACGGGAGGCAGCAGUGGGGAAUAUUGCACAAUGGGGGAAACCCUGAUGCAGCGACGCCGCGUGAGCGAAGAAGUAUUUCGGUAUGUAAAGCUCUAUCAGCAGGGAAGAAAAUGACGGUACCUGACUAAGAAGCCCCGGCUAACUACGUGCCAGCAGCCGCGGUAAUACGUAGGGGGCAAGCGUUAUCCGGAUUUACUGGGUGUAAAGGGAGCGUAGACGGAGCAGCAAGUCUGAUGUGAAAACCCGGGGCUCAACCCCGGGACUGCAUUGGAAACUGUUGAUCUGGAGUGCCGGAGAGGUAAGCGGAAUUCCUAGUGUAGCGGUGAAAUGCGUAGAUAUUAGGAGGAACACCAGUGGCGAAGGCGGCUUACUGGACGGUAACUGACGUUGAGGCUCGAAAGCGUGGGGAGCAAACAGGAUUAGAUACCCUGGUAGUCCACGCCGUAAACGAUGAGUGCUAGGUGUUAGGCCCUUUCCGGGGCUUAGUGCCGGAGCUAACGCAAUAAGCACUCCGCCUGGGGAGUACGACCGCAAGGUUGAAACUCAAAGGAAUUGACGGGGGCCCGCACAAGCGGUGGAGCAUGUGGUUUAAUUCGAAGCAACGCGAAGAACCUUACCUGCUCUUGACAUCCCGGUGACGGCAGAGUAAUGUCUGCUUUUCUUCGGAACACCGGUGACAGGUGGUGCAUGGUUGUCGUCAGCUCGUGUCGUGAGAUGUUGGGUUAAGUCCCGCAACGAGCGCAACCCCUAUUGUUAGUUGCCAUCAUUAAGUUGGGCACUCUAGCGAGACUGCCGGUAAUAAACCGGAGGAAGGUGGGGAUGACGUCAAAUCAUCAUGCCCCUUAUGAGCAGGGCUACACACGUGCUACAAUGGCGUAAACAAAGGGAAGCGAACCCGCGAGGGUGGGCAAAUCCCAAAAAUAACGUCUCAGUUCGGAUUGUAGUCUGCAACUCGACUACAUGAAGCUGGAAUCGCUAGUAAUCGCGAAUCAGAAUGUCGCGGUGAAUACGUUCUCGGGCCUUGUACACACCGCCCGUCAAACCAUGGGAGUUGGUAAUGCCCGAAGCCGGUGGCAUAACCCUUCGGGGAGUGAGCCGUCGAAGGCAGGACCGAUGACUGGGGUU
rnacentral:rRNA from 1 species